GAAUUCAACUCCUACGGGAGGCAGCAGUGGGGAAUUUUGGACAAUGGGGGCAACCCUGAUCCAGCUAUGCCGCGUGAGUGAAGAAGGCCUUCGGGUUGUAAAGCUCUUUUGUCAGGGAAGAAACGGUAGUAGCUAAUAUCUAUUACUAAUGACGGUACCUGAAGAAUAAGCACCGGCUAACUACGUGCCAGCAGCCGCGGUAAUACGUAGGGUGCAAGCGUUAAUCGGAAUUACUGGGCGUAAAGCGUGCGCAGGCGGCUGUGUAAGUCAGAUGUGAAAUCCCCGGGCUCAACCUGGGAAUUGCGAUGGAGACUGCAAGGCUUGAAUCUGGCAGAGGGGGGUAGAAUUCCACGUGUAGCAGUGAAAUGCGUAGAGAUGUGGAGGAACACCGAUGGCGAAGGCAGCCCCCUGGGUCAAGAUUGACGCUCAUGCACGAAAGCGUGGGGAGCAAACAGGAUUAGAAACCCGAGUAGUCCAGGCGUU
rnacentral:rRNA from 1 species